rnacentral:sRNA from 1 species
UAAUGGGUUACACAUCAAUAAUUUGUCC